UAGGGAAUAUUGGGCAAUGGACGAAAGUCUGACCCAGCCACGCCGCGUGAAGGAUGACUGCCCUAUGGGUUGUAAACUUCUUUUGUAUGGGAAGAAACCUCCGAACGUGUUCGGAGCUGACGGUACCAUAAGAAUAAGCAUCGGCUAACUCCGUGCCAGCAGCCGCGGUAAUACGGAGGAUGCAAGCGUUGUCCGGAUUCAUUGGGUUUAAAGGGUGCGUAGGCGGAGAAUUAAGUCAGUGGUGAAAGCUUACAGCUUAACUGUAAAAAUGCCAUUGAAACUGAUUUUCUUGAGUUCGAUUGAGGUAGAUGGAAUGUAUCAUGUAGCGGUGAAAUGCUUAGAUAUGAUACAGAACACCAAUUGCGAAGGCAGUCUACUAAGUCGAUACUGACGCUGAGGCACGAAAGCAUGGGGAGCAAACAGG
rnacentral:rRNA from 1 species